CCCUCCCUCUGGCGGCGUGCUUAACACAUGCAAGUCGAACGGUGAAGCACCUUCCUUUUGGUGGGUGUGGUUGAGUGGCGAACGGGUGAGUAACACGUGAGUAACCUGCCCCCUUCUUCUGGAUAACCGCAUGAAAGUGUAGCUAAUACGGGCUUUCCUGCUUCUGUCGCAUGGCGGGCCUGUGAGAGAUAUUCUUUAGUUGGGGGAUGGGCUCGCGGUCUAUCAGCUUGGUGGUGGGGUGAUGGCCUACCAAGGCGGUGACGGGUAGCCGGCCUGAGAGGGUGGACGGUCACACGGGGACUGAGAGACGGCCAAGACUCCUACGGGAGGCAGCAGUGAGGAAUAGUGCACGAUGGGAGCAAGCCUGAUGCAGCGACGCCGCGUGAGGGAUGGAGGCCUUCGGGUUGUAAACCUCUUUCGCCAGUGAAGCAGGCCUGUCCAUUUUGUGGGUGGGUUGACGGUAGCUGGAUAAGAAGCGCCGGCUAACUACGUG
rnacentral:rRNA from 1 species